rnacentral:rRNA from 1 species
UACGUAGGGGGCGAGCGUUGUCCGAAUUUAUUGGGCGUAAAGCGCGUGUAGGCGGCUCUUUAAGUCAGAUGUGAAAUCCUGCAGCUCAACUGCAGAACUGCAUUUGAUACUGGAGGGCUUGAGUGUGGGAGAGGAAAGUGGAAUUCCUGGUGUAGCGGUGAAAUGCGUAGAUAUCAGGAGGAACACCCGUGGCGAAGGCGGCUUUCUGGCCCACCACUGACGCUGAGACGCGAAAGCUAGGGGAGCGAACGGG